AGACGGGCGGGCGCAUGACGCAAUCCGCGUCCAGAAAGUAGGAAGCAAGAGGCCCGCCAAGGCCCGUUGUAUCCAUCACUUUGCGUCUCGCCGCACACCAGGCGCAAGUUAGCUUCGCCUGAGCUCCUACUAAGAGGCUUUCUCAUCUGCUCGUGGGAGGAGGCUGCUGCCUGCGAUGGACGAAGAAGCAGACAUUUACGAAGGCAUGAGGGCGCAGUUCCCUCUCUCCUUUGGCAAGCAAACCAAAGCUCCCACCCCUCUCGAAGCCAUACACAACACCACCCGGCGCACCCUAGAAUCACCCCCACCCCCCGUCUCCAACAAAACCAUCCCUUCUCUCUCCUCCUCUUCCAAGUCAUGGCUAAACGACUUCCGAAACCCUAACCCUAAUUCUCGUCCUCGAAACCCUGGCCUCGAUACCCACUCCUCAGACCUCAGAAAUCCUAGCUCCGUGCCUGCUGCGGCCGGACCAAGCGUUCCUGAAGCUCGAGAAUUAGAAACCUUCAAUGCGGACGAAGAUGGUGACGAUGGAGUGAUGAUUGGACCUCCCCGGCCGCCUCUGGACUCCACUGAGUCCGAUUCGGAUGAUGAUUCGGAUGAUGAGUCGGAUGGUGAGUUGGAGAAUUCGUAUCGGAUACCGUUCAGUAAUGAGAUAGUCUUGAAGGGGCAUACAAAGGUUGUCUCUGCCCUUGCUGUUGAUCAUUCAGGAUCUAGGGUGCUUUCUGGCAGCUAUGACUACUCCGUUCGCAUGUAUGAUUUCCAAGGAAUGAACUCCCGGUUGGCAUCAUUCAGACAGCUGGAACCUUUUGAAGGACACCAAGUCCGUAGUUUAAGUUGGAGUCCAACCGCAGACCGGUUUCUGUGUGUAACAGGUUCAGCACAGGCAAAGAUUUAUGACCGUGAUGGGCUUACUUUGGGUGAAUUCGUAAAGGGAGACAUGUACAUUCGUGACUUGAAGAAUACCAAGGGGCAUAUCUCAGGAUUGACUUGUGGAGAGUGGCACCCAAAAGCUAAGGAGACAAUCUUAACAUCCUCGGAGGAUGGAUCACUGCGUAUAUGGGAUGUAUCUGACUUCAAAAGUCAGAAACAGGUCAUCAAACCCAAGCUGGCAAGGCCAGGAAGAGUACCAGUUACCACAUGUGCAUGGAAUCAUGAUGGAAAAUACAUUGCUGGUGGUAUUGGAGAUGGUUCCAUACAGAUAUGGAACAUCAAGCCUGGAUGGGGAAGCAGACCAGAUAUACAUGUUGAGAAAGGUCAUGAGGAUGAUAUAACCGGACUCAAGUUCUCUAGUGAUGGACAGAUUCUUUUGUCAAGAAGCACCGAUGGUACACUAAAGGUUUGGGAUUUGCGGCAAAUGAAAAGGCCCCUUCAAGUAUUUGAAGACCUGCCAAAUAAUUAUGCUCAGACAAACGUUGCCCUCAGUCCCGAUGAACAACUUAUCUUUACUGGAACCUCUGUUGAAAGAGAGGGCACAAGUGGAGGUUUGCUGUGUUUCUAUGACCGGAAAAAGCUCGAACUUGUAUCCAGAGUGGGAAUAUCACCAACAUGCAGUGUCGUGCAAUGUUAUUGGCAUGGAAAGCUCAAUCAGGUCCUUGCUACUGUUGGGGACAAGAAACAAGGAGGGACUCACAUACUAUAUGAUCCAACCCUCAGUGAGAGAGGAGCUCUCGUAUGUGUUGCACGCGCACCUCGUAAAAAGUCCAUCGAUGAUUUUGAGGCAAAGCCUGUUAUUCACAACCCUCAUGCACUCCCCUUGUUUAGAGACCAACCAAGCCGUAAACGUCAGCGAGAAAAGGCAUUGAAGGACCCACUUAAAUCACACAAGCCCGACUUACCUGUCACAGGUCCUGGCUUUGGUGGAAGAGUUGGUUCUACUAAAGGGAGCUUAUUGACACAGUACCUUCUCAAGCAAGGGGGUAUGAUUAAGGAGACAUGGAUGGAAGAAGAUCCAAGAGAGGCUAUACUGAAAUACGCUGAUGUUGCAGCAAAAGACCCAAAAUAUAUUGCACCUGCAUAUCAAGAUACUCAACCAGAACCAGUUUUUGCAAAGUCAGAUUCUGAGGAAGAGAAAUAACAAUAAUAACCAUGUCUUUUGAUGCAGCAGAAUAUCUGUUUACCUCCGAGUCUUUAAUCCUGCACUAAACUCUAACAUCCGUAUCAAAGAUCCAUAUGACACAGUUCCCAUAUUAAAGUACCCUAAGGCUCUAACAGAACAUCCUGGAGUGAGUUUGAGUUUUGGACAAGGUUAAAAAGAAAAGAAGAAAAAGAAAAAGAACAAGAAAAGAAAGAAAGAAAUUCCUGAUUGCAUGCUGCCAGAUCAGUAUUGUUCUAUUCCUAUAUGAAAGUGCCCCAAGGCUCAAACAGAACAUCCCUGAAAUAGUGCAGCAGUCAGCAUUCGUGGAGAUGCCAAUGAGGAGUGACUGUAAUGCCGAUUACCCUGCAAGACAAUUGAAUGACUUAGGUGCUUAUCUUAGUGGUCCUCUGGUGUGGAGUAAAAAAAAAAUAACCCAACUGAUAUGCUAAGGAUAGCAAGUCUAUCAAAUAGUUCACUUUUCAUUCAACCAUGUAAGCAGCAACUGCUCAUUAUUAAUUGAAGGGAAGAAGAGUAGUUUGUCAUUUUAUGUUCAGUCACUGGAUAGAAUGGGGAGGAUAGGCCCAUUAUUGCCUGUCUAUAAAUAUCGAAUUUGGAUGCCUAAUA